UGCAAGUCGAACGAAGUAGCAAUACUUAGUGGCAGACGGGUGAGUAACAUGUAGGUAUCUGCCCUUUGGCCUGGAAUAACACGAGGAAACUUGUGCUAAUACCGGAUAAGUCUUUACGGAGAAAGCUUUAUGCACCAUUGGAUGAGCCUGCACUAGAUUAGUUUGUUGGUGGGGUAAUGGCCUACCAAGACUGUGAUCUAUAGCUGAUUUGAGAGGAUGAUCAGCCACAUUGGGACUGAGACACGGCCCAAACUCCUACGGGAGGCAGCAGUGGGGAAUCUUGCACAAUGGAGGAAACUCUGAUGCAGCGAUGCCGCGUGAGUGAAGAAGGCCUUUGGGUUGUAAAGCUCUUUCGUCGGGGAAGAAAAUGACUGUACCCGAAUAAGAAGGUCCGGCUAACUUCGUGCCAGCAGCCGCGGUAAUACGAAGGGACCUAGCGUAGUUCGGAAUUACUGGGCUUAAAGAGUUCGUAGGUGGUUGAAAAAGUUGGUGGUGAAAUCCCAGAGCUUAACUCUGGAACUGCCAUCAAAACUUUUCAGCUAGAGUAUGAUAGAGGAAAGCAGAAUUUCUAGUGUAGAGGUGAAAUUCGUAGAUAUUAGAAAGAAUACCAAUUGCGAAGGCAGCUUUCUGGAUCAUUACUGACACUGAGGAACGAAAGCAUGGGUAGCGAAGAGGAUUAGAUACCCUCGUAGUCCAUGCCGUAAACGAUGUGUGUUAGACGUUGGAAAUUUAUUUUCAGUGUCGCA
rnacentral:rRNA from 1 species